UACGUAGGGUCCGAGCGUUGUCCGGAAUUAUUGGGCGUAAAGGGCUCGUAGGCGGUUUGUCGCGUCGGGAGUGAAAACUCAGGGCUCAACCCUGAGCGUGCUUCCGAUACGGGCAGACUAGAGGUAUGCAGGGGAGAACGGAAUUCCUGGUGUAGCGGUGGAAUGCGCAGAUAUCAGGAGGAACACCGGUGGCGAAGGCGGUUCUCUGGGCAUGUCCUGACGCUGAGGAGCGAAAGUGUGGGGAGGCGAACAGG
rnacentral:rRNA from 1 species